rnacentral:lncRNA from 1 species
UGACUUAUAUUGUAAAACUCUCUAUACUUCCCCUCCAUCUAGUGCCUCCAUUCCGUCCAUUCAAGAAUGUGGGUGUUGUCCAGAUAACGUUAUAAAGUAACAUGAGUUUCUUUGCCCAUUCCAAACUGUGAAAAAAUAUAAGAGAAAAAUAUUAUUGAAUUGUUGUAACUACAUUAUUACAUUGAGACCCUAUUUAUAGACAAUACAUUUCAACCUUUUCCUAAUAGGACACUACAUUACAAUCCUUUUCCAAGUAGGAUUUUGUAUGCUAUUCCUAUUCCUACUCAUAUUCUAACACAAACCAUUUACGAGAGACACUAUAUUCUAUAGAAAAUUGCAACCAAUGGCUUAAGACUUAAACAUAUGGAGAAAAGCAAUUGCCCCUUCUAGUCCUCCGUUUGAGUAAACCCCCUUAUUUCAAAACGAGGAAAAAGUUGCCUUUCACUGAUUUGAGAAAGUAGCAUGGUUGAAGAAGAAAGGCAACAGUGCAUUGAGCAUCUACUGGUUAUUCUAUAAUUCACUUAACUAAUAGCAAUAGCAGGAGAACUGCCAAGAAUGGAGGUAUAAGUAUAACAACAGAACUUGCUGCUAUGGCAUAUGCACACUGCUCGUCUACAUACUUUUACGUUUCUGUGUAAGAAAUCUAAUGUCUGCAAGAACCAAAUCAUACAAAUUCUCACCAGUCUCUGCAAAGUGCAAUUGCCAAGUUUUCUACAAGAAAUAGUUCAUCCGCAGAAGAUACAAGCUUUUACGCUAAUAAAAAUUAAUACAGUUGACCCCCCAAUACAAAUGGAGGGGUUCCUAUCUCCUACUCAUUGGCAAAAUGAGAUUGCAAAAGGAGGACAUAGACAAGGCUCAGUAACAGAUGAAUGGACAAAAGGAGGACAUAGACAAGGCUCAGUAACAGAUGAAUGGACAAUCUCAAAAUUUCAAAAUCUAAAACCCGAAGCAGAACAAUACAGUAAUACUCACCUUCAUACGACAAAUAUAUUUGUCUCACAAUCUGAAUGAGAUAAAGUAGUAGGAAUUAGAUAUUAGUCCCACCAAUUGAUAUCCUGCAGAAAAUGUAGAGAAAUGCAAUCCGGGAAGACAUAAUGAAAUAAUAAUACAUUUGAUAUACUGAAAAUAUAUUUGCUGAAGUCUUUAUCAGUGAAAAAGGUGAAGCAGCUUCAGUAGUUCUUGGAUAUCAUACUUACCAAUGCUAUCAAAGUUGAUUGAAAAGAAAAUCGGCAUUAGCCUGCAAGGUAUCAACCAUUUGCUAAACCACAAAAAUUUGAAUUCACUAAAUAGAAUUACUUGAAUCAGGAAAUCAAAGGAGAGAAAAAAGACCGCAGCAGAUAUUGUACAACAUUAUAUCCUGGGAAGUAUUAAUAGGUUAGAAACAAUCAGAGUACAGCAGUGGAACUAAAAAAGAGCACAUCAACCUUUUCUUUAACUUGUCCAAAGAAAAGCACCUUAUGCCCUCAUUUUUCAUAAGCUCUCUUCGUCUAACAAAACCAAAAUACAAAGCUUCCGGAAAAAAAUGUGCCAAAAGAACAAAAUUAUCAAUUAUUGUAGGCUUAAUGAGUACAUUUGUCUCUGUGCACUUGUUUGACAGUAGGAACCUCAAGUUAUCCCAAUUAAGUAACUAUGCUUCACUAUUACGACAUCUCAUUUUCCAUUUAGAAGUUAUAUACUACCAAAUUAGGUAAAGAAGUCCUUACCAAAACGUCAAGAGUGAGAGGUGGGGUUGGAGUCUCCGCGCAACGCUCUUCUUUCGUUCGUACUUCAUUUUCUUGCUCUUGAUCAGUCUCUAUUUUGGACUCAGAAACAAUAAUGACCUUGGUAAUUCUGUCAUCAUCAUCUUGUUGGUAUAAAGGAAAGGAAAAAUAGCAUUAAUAGUGAGCAAAGAUAGAUUUAUAUAUCAGUAUGGAAACAAAAAUAUUUACAAGAUCACACCCAUUCUUAACCAGCUAGUUUUCAUGAUAAAUAACUCCUUCGAUUUUAAAAGUACAUUAAAUGAGUAAUGAACUAUAACAAAGGCUUUCAGUGAUUUGGUAAAAGGGGAAAAACAGAAAUUCUUCAGUUGUUGAUGCUUUUAAAAAAAAUCAUCUCAGUUUCAAGAAAACCAUAAUAUAAUACUGUGAAUAAUUCAUAGUUUACAAGUAAUUCUCUGCACAAAUUUUAAGAAAAUUCUCUUUGAGAAUUAGCUCACCGCUAGAACUAUCAUUGCUACCACCACCACCACUGCCACUUCCGAUUCUUUUAUCAACAGGAAUUACUGCUGCUAUGUUCCACAUUUUGUUUGAUGUUCUAGCCUCUAAUGUAACCGCACCACAGAGAAUUACAAAAUAAUACCUCAUAAAUUAAAAAAUGUGUAUAUACAACUCAAAUCAAAUCCAACACCUACCAGAUUUGAGUACUAUACUAAGAACACAAUAUCAUUAAUUUUCCUAUAUCAUUCUGAAUUAGAGAAUUUUUUUUACAUAAUUGAGCAAUUCAAAAGUGUAGCAGUAGCUGCAGCUGCAGUUGAUGCCAUAACAUCGCUAUUGAUUGAACAUUCACAGCAGAACUAACCACUACCACUGAUGUAAGAUGCUCGCGCUCAACUCCCAUAGCCUCAAUAGCUUCAACACACUGUAUUGCUACCAAUGUUGAAGCAGAACCAUAGCCAUAUCAGUUUUCGCCAUGUGCUCAUCCUUUCCGCCACCAGAUGAGGCUGUUGUAGCUGCUGCAAUAGAAACAACACCAGCAGCAACUCCUGCAACCGACACAACAGCAUGAAGUUGUGAAUUAUGUGCCCUCAUCUCCUAUUUUUUCUUCUCCCUCCUAUCCUUUAACCACUUACCCACCAUCUUCCCUUCUUUACCACCACCACCAAUAACAGCCGAGCUAGUAGCAGCAACACUACUCCUGUACUGGUUAUAAAUUGGUACAUUAUUCAGAUGACUGUAUUGAAGAUGACAAAUUAAACUUUUGGAGUCUCAACUGGAAGUCAAAGUUAUGAAAACCUUCGAUAGUUUCUUACCAAGUCAAUUGAGUUGCAUCAGUCAUGCCGACGUCCCGAAGGAACCUGCGAAUUGAAUUGAGAAUCAAGUAAGGAAGGCCAUAAUUUGAUUAUUUGGAGAGAGCAUGAGAGAUGAUAAUAUGGUUUCUUAAAAGGAGAAGAAAAUAUAAAAUUCUGUAGUAUAACGCAAGCUCCGGAAGACAUUGGAGAUGCUUAAGCUAUUUAGAGACAGUUCAGCAAUAGAAAGCUCUUUACAGACUGUCCAGCAAUUAAAAUUAUCUGGCAACUGGAUUAAUGAGGCAUCAACUAAAAAAUCUUUGAAACACCACCAGAACGAUUUCAUUUAUGCUCAAAUCAAAGGUGUAAAUUUUAAAAUGUACAUUCAGCAAUGAGACACUGAGGCUAACUUUUUAGUUGUUACAGGCGAAUAGAUGCACAUAAUUAUGAAAUCCGAACCUAUACGUUCAUGCUUAACGAACUCUUGAAGACUGCAAAACUCGUAAAUACAUGGCUAUCUACUCUAGUUUGAUCAUUCAAAUUAGAAUCUACUGCAUUAAUAAAAGGGUAAAUUACACUAAACACCCCUGUAAAAUAAACUUUCAAAGUUCGGAAAGCUUCAGCAGUAAAUUGAGUUUAGCUACUUAUGGUAAGGUUUACCCAAUUGAAUGGUAGGCAAAUUCGAGUAUUUGUUGGCUUUAUAGGGAAUCAUUUAGGUUAUCGAGCUCAACCUGUUGGGACAAUAAAGAUCAGGUCAACCUUAACUCUAUUAGAUAUCAGUUCAGAAAGGAAGGGAAAAAGAAUGGCUUAGCUCAGUGAAACAAAGCUAGAUCUGUGAAGAAGGAGUUGAAGAAGUCUUCAUGAGGUAUCUAUUUCAUGACAUUGUAUGACGUUGUGAUGUCUUAGGUGAAAUCAGUCCAAACUCAACCCCAAGAUAGAGAUGAGUUAGGUUUCAUGAUGAUAAGCUCGUAACAAACCUCUCCAUAAGCGUUACUCUUCAACGGCGGCCAUGAAUGAUCGACGAAGAUGAAGAGAUCACAGCAUUGAACUUUCCAUCCUCAGCUGUCUGCUUGAUUAUUGAUGGUAGGUGUUAAGUUACGAAAAUACCCUUGAUGUUGGUAUUAUUUACCAAAAUACCCUUCGUCGUAAACCAGAUGCAGGUGUCCCCACAUGUUAAAUCGCGUGAGAUUUAUAUGCAAGAUGCA